AGCGGCGGCUAAACAUGCAAGUCGAACGGCAGCACAGAAGAGCUUGCUCUUUGGGUGGCGAGUGGCGGACGGGUGAGUAAUGUCUGGGAAACUGCCCGAUGGAGGGGGAUAACUACUGGAAACGGUAGCUAAUACCGCAUAACGUCGCAAGACCAAAGUGGGGGACCUUCGGGCCUCACACCAUCGGAUGUGCCCAGAUGGGAUUAGCUAGUAGGUGGGGUAAUGGCUCACCUAGGCGACGAUCCCUAGCUGGUCUGAGAGGAUGACCAGCCACACUGGAACUGAGACACGGUCCAGACUCCUACGGGAGGCAGCAGUGGGGAAUAUUGCACAAUGGGCGCAAGCCUGAUGCAGCCAUGCCGCGUGUAUGAAGAAGGCCUUCGGGUUGUAAAGUACUUUCAGCGGGGAGGAAGGCGGUGAGGUUAAUAACCUCGCCGAUUGACGUUACCCGCAGAAGAAGCACCGGCUAACUCCGUGCCAGCAGCCGCGGUAAUACGGAGGGUGCAAGCGUUAAUCGGAAUUACUGGGCGUAAAGCGCACGCAGGCGGUCUGUUAAGUCAGAUGUGAAAUCCCCGGGCUUAACCUGGGAACUGCAUUUGAAACUGGCAGGCUUGAGUCUCGUAGAGGGGGGUAGAAUUCCAGGUGUAGCGGUGAAAUGCGUAGAGAUCUGGAGGAAUACCGGUGGCGAAGGCGGCCCCCUGGACGAAGACUGACGCUCAGGUGCAA
rnacentral:rRNA from 1 species